AAGCACACAUAUACUGGAAUAAAAAUGUUCUGAGAUAAGGAUCUUAUCUGAAUCUCGCAAUUUUGGUGGUGUACCCUGCAACAGCAUGUUUGUAGCUGUUUUUACUUCUGUUUAGAAGGUCAUCCAGCUAAGAGAUAGAGUUUCAGAGACGUGAAGAGUGUGAAGUGACCUGCCAUGUUUAUACCAGAUCUGCUUGAUGAAAGUCAAAUGCCUUACUAAAUUCAUAUCC